rnacentral:rRNA from 1 species
CUUGGUGAUAAUGCCGCAGGGGAAACACCCGUUCCCAUUCCGAACACGGAAGUUAAGACCUGCAGGGCUGAUGGUACUCGAGGCGCAGGCCUCCGGAAGAGUAAGACGUUGCCAAGG